rnacentral:rRNA from 1 species
UACAGAGGGUGCGAGCGUUAAUCGGAAUUACUGGGCGUAAAGCGCGCGUAGGCGGCUUUGCAAGUCGGGUGUGAAAUCCCCAGGCUUAACCUGGGAACUGCAUUUGUGACUGCAUGGCUGGAGUGCGGCAGAGGGGGAUGGAAUUCCGCGUGUAGCAGUGAAAUGCGUAGAUAUGCGGAGGAACACCGAUGGCGAAGGCAGUCCCCUGGGCCUGCACUGACGCUCAUGCACGAAAGCGUGGGGAGCAAACAGG